AAGAAAAAAUAAAAAGGAGUCUCGAGCUAUUUGUCCAUUUUAAACAAAAACCUAACCCCUUUAUCUCUUUACCACUCCAAAACCCUAAGCCCCAAACCAAUUUUUGGACCCAUUUGAAGCAGAUUGGAGCUUGGGAAACACCUCUAGAGCUUUGGUGGAAUCCCCCAUGAUUUGCUGGAAUUUAGAGCUUAGAUUUAUGCAAUCCAGCUUCUAAGAGGGAAAUUGAGCUAUUUGACUCGUUGGUGAGCUAAAGGACGAUUGAAGGUUGAAGUUUGAUGGUGGAAGUGCAAUCGAUUUGUCAUUCUCCAAGCAGGAUGUUGCUUAUUGGGUACCUACAUCAAAUGGAGAGUUUACCACUAAAGGUGCAUGGGAAGAAAUUCGACACUCGCAACCUAGCAGUCAAUUAUGUAAGUUGAUCUAGCAUAAAAGUAUACCACUUUCUAUCUCUUUCUUUUUGUGGCGGAUAAUAAAUAAUUGGAUAUCGGUGGAGUUAUGAAUGAAAACUAAAGGUAUUCAAUUAGCAUCGAAAUGUCUAUGUUGCAAUUCUAAGGAAUCACUAAUGCACGUUA